CUAGAUGACGAGUCGGAUUAUUGGGCGUAAGCGCGCGCAGGCGGUCCCUUAAGUCUGAUGUGAAAGCCCACGGCUCAACCGUGGAGGGUCAUUGGAAACUGGGGGACUUGAGUGCAGAAGAGGAGAGCGGAAUUCCACGUGUAGCGGUGAAAUGCGUAGAGAUGUGGAGGAACACCAGUGGCGAAGGCGGCUCUCUGGUCUGUAACUGACGCUGAGGCGCGAAAGCGUGGGGAGCAAACAGGAUUAGAUACCCUGGUAGUCCACGCCGUAAACGAUGAGUGCUAAGUGUUAGAGGGGUUUUCCCUUUAAUGGUGGAACUAACGCGUUAAGCACUCCCCCUGGGGAAUACGGGCGCCAGGGUGAAACUCAAAGGAAUUGACGGGGGCCCGCACAAGCGGUGGAACAUGUGGUUUAAUUCCAAACAACCCGAAAAACCUUACCAGGGCUUGACAUCCCCUGACAACCCUGGAAACAGGGCGUUCCCCCUUCCGGGGGACAGGGUGACAGGUGGUGCAUGGUGGUCGUCAGUUCGUGUCGUGAGAUGUUGGGUUAAUUCCCGCAACGAGCGCAACCUUCGCCCUUAGUUGCCACCAUUCAGUUGGCCACUUUAGGGGGACUCCCGGUUAAAAUCCGGAGGAAGGUGGGGAGGACGUCAAUUCUUCAUGCCCCUUAUGCCCUGGGUUCCACACGUGUUCCAAUGGGCGGUCCAAAGGGUUGCGAACCCGCGAGGGGGAGCGAUUCCCAAAAAGCCGUUUUCAGUUCGGAUUCCAGGUUGCAAUUCCCCUCCAGGAACCCGGAAUCGUUGGUAAUCGCGGAUCACCAUGCCGCGGGGAAUACGUUCCCGGCCCUGGUCCACACCGCCCGUCACACCACGGGAGCUUGCAACACCCGAAGUCGGUGAGGUAACCUGUAAGGAGCCAGCCGCCGAAGAUGUCAUCGACGC
rnacentral:rRNA from 1 species